rnacentral:rRNA from 1 species
GCAUAUCAAUAAGCGGAGGAAAAAGAAACCAACAGGGAUUGCCUCAGUAACGGCGAGUGAAGCGGCAAAAGCUCAAAUUUUAAAGCUGGCAUCUCCGGUGUCCGCGUUGUAAUUUUGUGAGGCAUCUCCGGGUGGGGCGCCGGCCUAAGUUCCUUGGAACAGGACGUCAUAGAGGGUGAGAAUCCCGUGCUUGGCUGGCUGUCCCCGUCCAUGUGAGGUGUCUUCGACGAGUCGAGUUGUUUGGGAAUGCAGCUCAAAAUGGGUGGUAAAUUUCAUCUAAAGCUAAAUAUUGGUGGGAGACCGAUAGCGCACAAGUAGAGUGAUCGAAAGAUGAAAAGCACUUUGAAAAUAGAGUUAAAAAGUACGUGAAAUUGUUGAAAGGGAAGCGCUUGAGACCAGACUUCGGUGGGGAGUGAUCAGCCGUCCUUCUGGGCGGUGCACUUGCCCCCCUCCGGGCCAGCAUCGGUUGGGACGGCGGGAUAAAGGUCCCGGGAAUGUGGCUCCUCUCGGGGAGUGUUAUAGCCCGGGUGAAUGCCGCCAGCCCCGACCGAGGACCGCGCCUUCGGGCUAGGAUGCUUGGCAUAAUGGUCUUCAGCGACCCGUCUUGAAACACGGACCAAGGAGUCUAACAUCUAUGCGAGUGUUUGGGUGUCAAACCCUUGCGCGAAAUGAAAGUGAACGGAGGUGGGAACCCGCAAGGGCGCACCAUCGACCGGUCCCGAAGUCUUCUGAAGGAUCUGAGUAGGAGCAUAGCUGUUGGGACCCGAAAGAUGGUGAACUAUGCCUGAAUAGGGUGAAGCCAGAGGAAACUCUGGUGGAGGCUCGCAGCGGUUCUGACGUGCAAAUCGAUCGUCAAAUUUGGGUAUAGGGGCGAAAGACUAAUCGAACCAUCUAGUAGCUGGGUUCCUGCGAG